rnacentral:tRNA from 1 species
UGGAGAUGUAGCUCAGAGGUAGAGCACUUACCCAACAUGCAUGAGGCCCUGGGUUCAAUCCCCAGUACUGUAA